AAAGCAUCCGCUGUCCCCCAGUGGCCUCAUAGGAAACAAACCUGCACAGGGAUAAGCUUAAUAUCCCCCUCGAUGGCUCUCAUCGGCAUGCACCAUCCAGUUUUGUUUGUUCAAAAGCAAAGGAAAUGGAGUUGCUUUAAAUUUAUGAGCUGACAAGUUUCUGAGUAAUGGUGAAUCAUGGCUCAAUAUUCACCUGAAGCUCAGGCGGUGAGCUGGCUCAGGCUGCAUCUCUUCGAGGGGGCACAGCAAUUCACUGAAGGAUCACUCAUGGCCCUGAGCCGCCUGGAGUAAAAGAUGGAAGGCUGGACGAGGCCAAGGUCAGCACGCCCACGGAGAGAGGCUGCCGCACACCAGAAAAGCACUUCAGAGGGCAAAGAUGUCAACCCAAGUGCUGGUUAAGCAAUGGAAAAAUAGGGGUUGGGACCUGAAAAUAUGGAAAAGAAAACAAAAAUAUUGGCUUGACCAGGUAAGUCUUGGAUGCUAGAGAAGAGCCCGCAUAGCACGACCCCAGGGCAAAAACUGCCUUGGAAUUAAUCAGCCUAGGCCCUGAGACACUCUCCGUACUUCCAAGCCCUGAAGAUAAGACGCUGCAGAGCUGCACCCAUAGCUGCCAGCCUAAUUAGAGAUGCUUACCCUCCACCCAGUCAGUCCCAGUGAGUCAGGACAGAGAGGAGCUGGGCCACUCUGCUCCCCAGGGGCACUGGGAGACUUCCUUCCGGCAAAGCGUUCUGAGGCAUGCUGUGAGAUUUCCGAACCGCCCACCUCACUGCAGUUCUGAUCAGCUCAAGCCUUCCUGGAGAGAUGAAACGGGUCCGUGGGAUGAUUCGGCUCGAGGCAAGGAAACGUGAGAGAAGCACGCAUGAUAUCACCGCCCCCUCGAUUCAGAAACCUCACUCCUUCCUUUCCCUGAGUGACUUCACCUCUUCUCCUCACAUUCGGUUGAAACAAGGGCCCUACGGAAGGCAUUUCCGCUCACGAGUCCUGCCACCAAUGCAGAGGUCGCUCUGGAUGGGUUUCUAGAGACACCAAGGGGAAUCUUGAGACUUCGCAUCACUUGGUUGGAUAAACAUGAAGCACAGAGAACAGUACAAAUGUGUGCUUUUGUUAAAAUCUGUACAUACACAAAUAUAUAGAAAUAAAUGUAAAU
ensembl:lncRNA